CCUCUCUCAGUACAGUGGUAAAGUAUGUCGGCUCGUCGCGCCGAUGACGCAAGUUCGAUUCUUGUAGAGAGAA